rnacentral:rRNA from 1 species
UACAGAGGUCUCAAGCGUUGUUCAGAUUCAUUGGGCGUAAAGGGUGCGUAGGCGGUCUGUUACGUCUGCUGUGAAAACCCGGGGCUUAACCCUGGGCUUGCAGUGGAUACGGGCAGACUAGAGGCAGGUAGGGGAGAAUGGAAUUCCCGGUGUAGCGGUGAAAUGCGCAGAUAUCGGGAGGAACACCGGUGGCGAAGGCGGUUCUCUGGGCCUGACCUGACGCUGAGGAGCGAAAGCGUGGGGAGCGAACAGG